CAUAGUAGAGGGAAGGUUUAUAUUGGAGAUGGAGUUCGGGGAUAACUUGUUCAGGACUAAAGAUCCGCACCGUGCGCACGUUUACUUCAUGCCCUACAACGUGACUAAGAUGGUCUCUUAUCUCUACAAACCCCACACUUAUGAUGUUACUCCCCUCCUACAAUUCGUCUUGGGUUACUUUGAAGUAAUCUCCACCAAAUAUCCUUAC